rnacentral:lncRNA from 1 species
UUGUAACUUGGUAAUCUACUAGAUAACAGCACAGGAGAGACUGCGUUUAUUUAUGGAAUUAAGAGUUAUCACAUUCCCAAAAUACUUGGAAAGAAUGGAAUGUUUCGAGUAGCCGGCGCAAGGCAAACGGGCUAAAAUCUUCUGAACACUAUCCCAUAAAAAAAUCGCUGCGAAGCGAAGGCGGCGAGCCAACGACCACGAGUACGUACAAUGUGAGGAUAAUAGGAAAUGGGAAAGGUCGCCUGCGAGAAGACUCUGAAGCGAUGGAAGGCCUACGCCAACGACGACCUGCCCGUAGAUCUAUGAGACGUCAGCACCGACGGGUACUCCUGAUGCUUCAAGAGUCGGGGAUCACGGCGCAACAUAUGAAAAAAAUGUUUCCGCCUUGUCCACACUGCUCUGUUGUAGCUUCAUUCGACGUUCCUUUCAGCUCUUAUAUGUACAUAUUUCUCGUCGGUUGUUGCUUGUCACUGUUCACUUUCUGCGUCGAGUUAACUUUUAAAUGUUGGCCACGCUUUAUCCACGACUGUUUGCCUUCCGUUAAGCCAUGAAUAACCUGAAAAUAAGUGCUGCAUCGUUUCUUCUGUGGCGUCAAUGACCACCUCUUUUAAUGGAGACGCUCUUUAGCAAAAUUAGCCCACAUAUUUUGCUGCUG